CCUACGGGCGGCAGCAGUCGAGAAUCAUUCACAAUGGGGGAAACCCUGAUGGUGCGACGCCGCGUGGGGGAAUGAAGGUCUUCGGAUUGUAAACCCCUGUCAUGUGGGAGCAAGUUAAAAAGAUAGUACCACAAGAGGAAGAGACGGCUAACUCUGUGCCAGCAGCCGCGGUAAUACAGAGGUCUCAAGCGUUGUUCGGAAUCACUGGGCGUAAAGCGUGCGUAGGCUGUUUCGUAAGUCGUGUGUGAAAGGCGCGGGCUCAACCCGCGGACGGCACAUGAUACUGCGAGACUAGAGUAAUGGAGGGGGAACCGGAAUUCUCGGUGUAGCAGUGAAAUGCGGAGAUAUCGAGAGGAACACUCGUGGCGAAGGCGGGUUCCUGGACAUUAACUGACGCUGAGGCACGAAGGCCAGGGGAGCGAAAGGGAUUAGAUACCCGUGUAGUC
rnacentral:rRNA from 1 species